rnacentral:rRNA from 1 species
AACGAACGCUGGCGGCAGGCCUAACACAUGCAGGUCGAGCGCCCCGCAAGGGGAGCGGCGGACGGGUGAGUAACGCGUGGGAAUUUUCCUCAAGGUACGGAACAACUCAGGGAAACUUGGGCUAAUACCGUAUGACGUCGAGAGACCAAAGAUUUAUCGCCUUGGGAUAAGCCCGCGUCAGAUUAGGUAGUUGGUGGGGUAACGGCCUACCAAGCCUGCGAUCUGUAGCUGGUCUGAGAGGACGAUCAGCCACACUGGGACUGAGACACGGCCCAGACUCCUACGGGAGGCAGCAGUGGGGAAUCUUGCGCAAUGGGCGAAAGCCUGACGCAGCCAUGCCGCGUGAGUGAUGAAGGUCUUAGGAUUGUAAAGCUCUUUCGCCCGUGACGAUGAUGACGGUAACGGGAGAAGAAGCCCCGGCUAACUUCGUGCCAGCCGCCGCGGUAACAC